rnacentral:rRNA from 1 species
UGGGGAAUUUUGGACAAUGGGGGAAACCCUGAUCCAGCCAUCCCGCGUGUUUGAUGAAGGCCUUCGGGUUGUAAAGCACUUUUGGCAGGAAAGAAACGUCAUGGGUUAAUACCCCGUGAAACUGACGGUACCUGCAGAAUAAGCACCGGCUAACUACGUGCCAGCAGCCGCGGUAAUACGUAGGGUGCAAGCGUUAAUCGGAAUUACUGGGCGUAAAGCGUGCGCAGGCGGUUCGGAAAGAAAGAUGUGAAAUCCCAGAGCUGAACUUUGGAACUGCAUUUUUAACUACCGGGCUAGAGUGUGUCAGAGGGAGAUGGAAUUCCGCGUGUAGCAGUGAAAUGCGUAGAUAUGCGGAGGAACACAGAUGGCGAAGGCAGCCUCCUGGAAUAACACUGACGCUCAUGCACGAAAGCGUGGGGAGCAAACAGG